rnacentral:rRNA from 1 species
GAGUUUGAUCCUGGCUCAGGAUGAACGCUGGCGGCGUGCUUAACACAUGCAAGUCGAACGGGAAACCUUUUAUUGAAGCUUCGGCAGAUUUAGCUGGUUUCUAGUGGCGGACGGGUGAGUAACGCGUGGGUAACCUGCCUUAUACAGGGGGAUAACAGUCAGAAAUGACUGCUAAUACCGCAUAAGCCCACAGGUCGGCAUCGACCAGAGGGAAAAGGAGCAAUCCGCUUUGAGAUGGCCUCGCGUCCGAUUAGCUAGUUGGUGAGGUAACGGCCCACCAAGGCGACGAUCGGUAGCCGGACUGAGAGGUUGAACGGCCACAUUGGGACUGAGACACGGCCCAGACUCCUACGGGAGGCAGCAGUGGGGAAUCUUGCGCAAUGGGGGGAACCCUGACGCAGCGACGCCGCGUGCGGGACGGAGGCCUUCGGGUCGUAAACCGCUUUCAGCAGGGAAGAGUCAAGACUGUACCUGCAGAAGAAGCCCCGGCUAACUACGUGCCAGCAGCCGCGGUAAUAC